UGGUGACUGAGUACUGAGAGCACUA
rnacentral:piRNA from 1 species